rnacentral:rRNA from 1 species
CGUUAGCGCCAAUGGUACUACAAUCGUGGGAGAGUAGGUCGCCGCCUUCC